GACGAACGCUGGCGGCGUGCUUAACACAUGCAAGUCGAACGGAAAGGCCCUGCUUUUGUGGGGUGCUCGAGUGGCGAACGGGUGAGUAACACGUGAGUAACCUGCCCUUGACUUUGGGAUAACUUCAGGAAACUGGGGCUAAUACCGGAUAGGAGCUCCUGCUGCAUGGUGGGGGUUGGAAAGUUUCGGCGGCUGGGGAUGGACUCGCGGCUUAUCAGCUUGUUGGUGGGGUAGUGGCUUACCAAGGCUUUGACGGGUAGCCGGCCUGAGAGGGUGACCGGCCACAUUGGGACUGAGAUACGGCCCAGACUCCUACGGGAGGCAGCAGUGGGGAAUAUUGCACAAUGGGCGGAAGCCUGAUGCAGCAACGCCGCGUGCGGGAUGACGGCCUUCGGGUUGUAAACCGCUUUCGCCUGUGACGAAGCGUGAGUGACGGUAAUGGGUAAAGAAGCACCGGCUAACUACGUGCCAGCAGCCGCGGUGAUACGUAGGGUGCGAGCGUUGUCCGGAUUUAUUGGGCGUAAAGGGCUCGUAGGUGGUUGAUCGCGUCGGAAGUGUAAUCUUGGGGCUUAACCCUGAGCGUGCUUUCGAUACGGGUUGACUUGAGGAAGGUAGGGGAGAAUGGAAUUCCUGGUGGAGCGGUGGAAUGCGCAGAUAUCAGGAGGAACACCAGUGGCGAAGGCGGUUCUCUGGGCCUUUCCUGACGCUGAGGAGCGAAAGCGUGGGGAGCGAACAGGCUUAGAUACCCUGGUAGUCCACGCUGUAAACGGUGGGUACUAGGUGUGGGGUCCAUUCCACGGGUUCCGUGCCGUAGCUAACGCUUUAAGUACCCCGCCUGGGGAGUACGGCCGCAAGGCUAAAACUCAAAGGAAUUGACGGGGCCCCGCACAAGCGGCGGAGCAUGCGGAUUAAUUCGAUGCAACGCGUAGAACCUUACCUGGGUUUGACAUGGAUCGGGAGCGCUCAGAGAUGGGUGUGCCUCUUUUGGGGUCGGUUCACAGGUGGUGCAUGGCUGUCGUCAGCUCGUGUCGUGAGAUGUUGGGUUAAGUCCCGCAACGAGCGCAACCCUUGUUCACUGUUGCCAGCACGUUAUGGUGGGGACUCAGUGGAGACCGCCGGGGUCAACUCGGAGGAAGGUGGGGAUGACGUCAAGUCAUCAUGCCCCUUAUGUCCAGGGCUUCACGCAUGCUACAAUGGCUGGUACAGAGAGUGGCGAGCCUGUGAGGGUGAGUGAAUCUCGGAAAGCCGGUCUCAGUUCGGAUUGGGGUCUGCAACUCGACCUCAUGAAGUCGGAGUCGCUAGUAAUCGCAGAUCAGCAACGCUGCGGUGAAUACGUUCCCGGGGCU
rnacentral:rRNA from 1 species